GGGAAAUAUCCUUGGAUAGGUAGGAAUCCAUUCCUAUUAGAGUCAGCUAGGGCUUAUCUACAGGAGGUAGUUAGUGUAAGCAAGCUAAAGUAUUAAAUUGUAGCAUACUAAGAGCACCUUUCUGAAACAGCUUUGAAAACUACUUCACAGUUACUGUGAACCAGGAACAACUAAGCAAUACCAGCUAGAACAUGAUCUGUCUCUGCGUGAAGACAUUGGACCUCUGACCUUUUUUGUAGCUAUUCCAGGCAUAUGAAUUCAGCCACGUGGUUUCCACCAACUGACCACCUCAAAAUACAGUGCAGGACACUUCCUCAGAUUCCUACUGAUAUUCAGAUUUAUAACCUCUUUCCUGUUGUAUUUGAAGCCAGCACACACUGCUCUGCCAUUGUACAGGUAUG
rnacentral:lncRNA from 1 species